UACAGAGGGUGCUAGCGUUGUUCGGAAUCAUUGGGCGUAAAGGGCGUGUAGGCGGUUUGUUAAGUCAUGUGUGAAAUCCCUCGGCUCAACCGGGGAACGACGCAUGAAACUGGCAAGCUAGAGUACCAAAGAGGGGGUGGAAUUCCCGGUGUAGCGGUGAAAUGCGCAGAUAUCGGGAGGAACACCUAUGGCGAAGGCAGCUCGCUGGGACGUUACUGACGCUGAGACGCGAAAGCGUGGGGAGCAAACAGG
rnacentral:rRNA from 1 species